rnacentral:sRNA from 1 species
AUCUAGCCCCGAUAGAGCCGGUAUCCUUUUUGUCCCGCCACUGCGGGACAAAAAGAUAUAGGCGAAAGCGGGACAACUG